UACGUAGGGUGCAAGCGUUGUCCGGAAUUACUGGGUGUAAAGGGUCCGCAGGCGGGCAAACAAGUCGGUGGUGAAAGCUCUUCGCUCAACGGAGAGACUGCCAUCGAUACUGUUUGUCUUGAGUUCGAGAGAGGAUAAUGGAAUUCAUGGUGUAGCGGUGAAAUGCGUAGAGAUCAUGAAGAACACCGGUAGCGAAGGCGGUUAUCUGGCUCGAUACUGACGCUCAGGGACGAAAGCGUGGGUAGCAAACAGGAUUAGAUACCCUGGUAGUCCACGCCUUAAACGAUGGAUAUUCGGUGUCGGUCCGCAAGGAUCGGUGCCUGAGCCAACGCGUUAAAUAUCCCACCUGGGGAGUACGAUCGCAAGGUUGAA
rnacentral:rRNA from 1 species